rnacentral:rRNA from 1 species
AGAGUUUGAUCAUGGCUCAGAACAAACGCUGGCGGCGUGCCUAACACAUGCAAGUCGUACGAGAAAGGGUCCUUCGGGACCUGAGUAGAGUGGCGCACGGGUGAGUAACGCGUGGAUAAUCUGCCCUUCAGUUGGGAAUAACUCAUCGAAAGGUGGGCUAAUACCGAAUAACGCUGUAAGACCAUGGUCGACCAGCCAAAGAGAGCCUCUGCUUGCAUGCCCUCGCUGAAGGAUGAGUCCGCGUACCAUUAGCUAGUUGGUAGGGUAAUGGCCUACCAAGGCGACGAUGGUUAGCUGGUCUGAGAGGAUGAUCAGCCMCACUGGAACUGAGACACGGUCCAGACUCCUACGGGAGGCAGCAGUGAGGAAUCUUGCGCAAUGGGGGAAACCCUGACGCAGCAACGCCGCGUGAGUGAGGAAGGUCUUCGGAUCGUAAAGCUCUGUCAGAUGGAAAGAACCGCAUGGGGGUUAACAGCCCCUGUGUCUGACGGUACCAUCAGAGGAAGCACCGGCUAACUCCGUGCCAGCAGCCGCGGUAAUACA